GUGGGGUUAGCUCAGUUGGUUAGUGUGUGGUGCUAAUAACGCCAAGGUCACAGGUUCAAUCCCUGCUCACUGCA
rnacentral:tRNA from 1 species